CCUACGGGAGGCAGCAGUAGGGAAUAUUGCUCAAUGGGGGAAACCCUGAAGCAGCAACGCCGCGUGGAGGAUGAAGGUUUUCGGAUUGUAAACUCCUUUUGUUAGAGAAGAGAAGGACGGUAGCGAACGAAUAAGCACCGGCUAACGCCGUGCCAGCAGCCGCGGUAAUACGGAGGGUGCAAGCGUUACUCGGAAUCACUGGGCGGAAAGAGCGCGUAGGCGGGCUUGCAAGUCAGAUGUGAAAUCCUAUGGCUUACCCAUAGAACUGCAUUUGAAACUGUUAUUCUAGAGUAUGGGAGAGGUAGGUGGCCUUCUUGGUGUCGGGGUCACAUCCGUAGAG
rnacentral:rRNA from 1 species